rnacentral:tRNA from 1 species
GCGUCUGUAGUUUAAUGGCAAAACAUCCGGUUGUGGGCCGGAAGUUAAGGGUUCAAAUCCCACUGACGCCCA